rnacentral:rRNA from 1 species
GAUGAACGCUGGCGGCGUGCCUAAUACAUGCAAGUCGAGCGAACAGACGAGGAGCUUGCUCCUCUGACGUUAGCGGCGGACGGGUGAGUAACACGUGGAUAGCCUACCUCUAAGACUGGGAUAACUUCGGGAAACCGGAGCUAAUACCGGAUAAUAUAUUGAACCGCAUGGUUCAAUAGUGAGAGACGCUUUUUGUUUCACUUAUAGCUGGCUCAGGGCCGCAUUAGCUGGUGGGGAAGGUAACGGCUUAGCAAGGCGGCGAUGCGUAGACGACCUGAGAGGGUGAACGGCCAGACUGGAACAGAGAAUCGGCCCAGACUCCGACGGGAGGCAGCAGUAGGGAAUCUUCCGCAAUGGGGGAAAGCCUGACGGAGCAACGCCGCGUGAGGGAUGAAGGUCUUCGGAUCGUAAAACUCUGUUAUUAGGGAAGUACAAAUGUGUAAGUAACCAUGCACGUCUUGACGGUACCGAAUCAGAAAGCCACGGCUAACUCCGUG